rnacentral:lncRNA from 1 species
AUAUUCAUAGCUGUGCNGGGAGGAGGAAGAGAGGUGAUUGGAUUGGAGGAGGAGGAGAGACCAGUGUAUACCGCAGACAUCAUUUCUAGUACAGUGGCAGAGACGUCCAGGACCUGUUUCCCGGCAGGGGGAUAAAAAACAAGCCCUGUGGAUCAGCAACAGCAGCAGCAAGCAGCAACAGCCGCCGCAAGACAUUGUUUCUCUCCCUCUGCCCCCCUUCCCCAAGCAACCCCAGAUCCAUUUACACUUUACACUGCAUCUCAAGGCAAGCCAGCAGGGUGGUCCAUUCUGACUACGGAUUUAUUCAUGGUUUUUGCAUAGCAGCCCCUUCUCCCAUCAUCACAACUGGGAAGUGUACUAUAAAUCAGUGCAUUGCUAUGCUUAGCAGUCUAUCAUGAAGGCAAAAUGGGAUCUAUCAGUCUGUGAAAACAAGCAUCUUGGAACACAAUGAAAGAGUUUAUUCCCAGGCCUCAGAAGAAGUUUAGCUGUUGCCAGUGAGAAAGAGAGCCAGGGUGGACAGAGGGCUGCAUGAACGGUCUUGAAACAUACCUGAUUUUAGGUAAGUCAUCUGAAUCAAAGGACUUACUGCAUAAUAGCUUUUAAUUUCAUUAACUAUCUUUUUUUUAUUUUUUUUUGACUUUUUAAACAUUAUUUUAUUUGGUUAUUUACA